AGAGUUUGAUCCUGGCUCAGAUUGAACGCUGGCGGUAGGCUUAACACAUGCAAGUCGUGCGAGAAAGUAUCUUCGGAUAUGAGUAGAGCGGCGGACGGGUGAGUAACGCGUAGGAAUCUACCUAGUAGAAGGGGAUAGCCCGAGGAAACUCGGAUUAAUACCGUAUACCUCCUUUCGGGAGAAAGAAGGCCUCUCAUUGAAGCUUUCGCUACUAGAUGAGCCUGCGUAAGAUUAGCUUGUUGGUGAGGUAAAGGCUCACCAAGGCAACGAUCUUUAGCGGGUCUGAGAGGACGAUCCGCCACAUUGGGACUGAGACACGGCCCAGACUCCUACGGGAGGCAGCAGUGGGGAAUAUUGGACAAUGGGCGCAAGCCUGAUCCAGCCAUACCGCGUGUGUGAAGAAGGCCCUAGGGUUGUAAAGCACUUUAAGUUGGGAAGAAAAGUUAUUGGCUAAUACCCAAUGACCGUGACAUUACCUUCAGAAUAAGGACCGGCUAAUUCCGUGCCAGCAGCCGCGGUAAUACGGAAGGUCCAAGCGUUAAUCGGAAUUACUGGGCGUAAAGCGCGCGUAGGUGGUUUAUUAAGUUGGAUGUGAAAUCCCCGGGCUCAACCUGGGAACUGCAUCCAAAACUGAUUCACUAGAGUACGAUAGAGGGAGGUAGAAUUCACAGUGUAGCGGUGGAAUGCGUAGAUAUUGUGAAGAAUACCAAUGGCGAAGGCAGCCUCCUGGAUCUGUACUGACACUGAGGUGCGAAAGCGUGGGUAGCGAACAGGAUUAGAUACCCUGGUAGUCCACGCCGUAAACGAUGUCAACUAGCUGUUGGGGAACUAAUGUUCUUCAG
rnacentral:rRNA from 1 species